rnacentral:rRNA from 1 species
CUGCUGCCUUCCGUAGGAGUUUGGACCGUGUCUCAGUUCCAAUGUGGGGGACCUUCCUCUCAGAACCCCUACGCAUCGUCGGCUUGGUGGGCCGUUGCCCCCACCAACUACCUAAUGCGCCGCAUGCCCAUCCGUGACCGGGGUCGCCCCCUUUGGCCGGCAGGGGAUGUCCCCUCCCGGCAUUAUGUUGUAUUAGGCGGGAUUUCUCCCGGUUAUUCCAUCUCGUCACGGCCAGGUUGCAUACGUGUUACUCACCCGUGCGCCGGUCGCCGGCGG